CCUGGGGGUCCCGCCGAAAUCGACAAUCCAGCGGUUGAAAAAGGAGGUCCUUCACCUGACGAAGAAGUUGAAGAAGACGGAAGGCGAGCUCCGCAAAUCGAGAGAAGGCCAUUCUGAAGCCGCCGCUGAGGCCGCCCACUUUCGGAGUCUCCAUGUGAAGGCGAUCAUGGAUUACAGCCGGAGGAAGGCGAACUUCGUAAAGGAACUCGAGGAAUGCAAGAAGAGCACCAGUGACCG
rnacentral:lncRNA from 1 species